ACCAGAAAAUUGCAAAGAUUCCAGGCAAGGAUGGGGAUGUGGGAAAUUCAGGCUGGGCAGACUGGAAAGAUAACCUGGAGAGGAAUGCAAAGCCCUGGGACAGAAGGAGCCCGGGGAACUGAGCUACUCCUGCCUGGCGAGGGGUUCACCAUCACAGAGAACAACAUGGGCUGAGGAGUCAGCAGUGAAGGCUUCCCUCUCCCUGGCACUUCAUGGAAGAAGAAACCCUAGAGAAAGGGGGUUCUCCUGUCCCCAUCAGUUUUGGGGAGUCCUCUUGAGUUCUAGUUCUGGGCUCAUCUUGCCUGGAUCACCCUCCAUCCUCAAGGAUGCCUGGGAAUGGAGCGCUGUGUGGCACAGGUGCCCUCAGCAGUCAGAGUGGGGGAUCUGUGAAGAGGUGUCUGACCUGUUCCUGCUCAUCAGGUGAGGAUGGUGAGAGGCCCAGAGUCACCCCAGGAGCACAGAACCAGGGAAGGGCACUCCUGCUGCCUUUUCAGGAGCCCUGGUCAGUAGGUCUCAGGUAAGGUUUUAGACCUUGCUAGCAGAUUUCACUCAGGCUCAGGGGCAGGGAGGAUUCUGUACCCACCUGAAAUGUCUGACAAAGCCUCUUCUCUUUCUGAUGAGCUCUCUCCUCCCUCACACAAAAUACAGUGCAGGGGAGUGCUGCUCCACUGAAGUCUUCUUCAGACUCUUCUAGCAGAUCCUGAGCUUUUGGCAUUUCAUACCCUUGGCAUUUCUGCCAGGGAUUUCUCAAGAUGUGCCAGAGGUGCUCUGGGGGGUCAGGGAGCCCAGAGCACCCUGAACUGAGCAUCCUGCAGGGCUGAACAUCCUGCCCUGGUAGCCAGACAGACCUGUGCCUUUGCCAUGAUGACAAGGAUCAAACAGUCCCAGGAAUGUCAGCACUAUAAGGUGAAAGACUUGACAUAGAAAGAAAAAAGAAAAAAGAAAACAAAACAAAAAACCAAAACAAAAAAGCCCCAAACACUCCCCCCAAACAAAAACAAAAACCCCUAAAAACAACAAAAAAACCACCACCA